AUUGAACGCUGGCGGCAGGCCUAACACAUGCAAGUCGAACGAGUGGCGGACGGGUGAGUAAUGUCUGGGAAACUGCCCGAUGGAGGGGGAUAACUACUGGAAACGGUAGCUAAUACCGCAUACCAUCGGAUGUGCCCAGAUGGGAUUAGCUAGUAGGUGGGGUAACGGCUCACCUAGGCGACGAUCCCUAGCUGGUCUGAGAGGAUGACCAGCCACACUGGAACUGAGACACUGUCCUGACUCCUACGGAAGGCAGCAGUGGGGAAUAUUGCACAAUGGGCGGAAGCCUGAGGCAGCCAUGUCGCGUGUACGAAGAGUGCGUUCGGGGUGUAGAGCACUUUCAGCGCGGAGGCGUUACUCGUCGAAGAAGCACCGGCUCACUCCGUCCCAGCAGCCGCGGUAAUAC
rnacentral:rRNA from 1 species